AACGAGGCCGACCUGCGGCUGAGUUACCUGCGGAAGGAUCAUUACACAACAAAAUAUGAGGGUCUGGCUUCGCGGCCGGCUGAAGUAUUUUUUUUCACCCAUGUCUUUUGCGCACUUGUUGUUUCCUGGGCGGGUUCGCCCGCCACCAGGACCAAACCAUAAACCUUUUUUUUAUGUAGUUGCAAUCAGCGUCAGUAAAAACAAUGUAAUUAUUACAACUUUUAACAACGGAUCUCAGAU
rnacentral:misc_RNA from 1 species